rnacentral:rRNA from 1 species
GGCCUUGACAUACUAAGAACUUUCCAGAGAUGGAUUGGUGCCUUCGGGAACUUAGAUACAGGUGCUGCAUGGCUGUAGUCAGCUCGUGUCGUGAGAUGUUGGGUUAAGUCCCGCAACGAGCGCAACCCUUUUCCUUAUUUGCCAGCGGGUCAUGCCGGGAACUUUAAGGAUACUGCCAGUGACAAACUGGAGGAAGGCGGGGACGACGUCAAGUCAUCAUGGCCCUUACGGCCAGGGCUACACACGUGCUACAAUGGUCGGUACAAAGGGUUGCUACCUCGCGAGAGGAUGCUAAUCUCAAAAAGCCGAUCGUAGUCCGGAUCGCAGUCUGCAACUCGACUGCGUGAAGUCGGAAUCGCUAGUAAUCGCGGAUCAGAAUGCCGCGGUGAAUACGUUCCCGGGCCUUGUACACACCGCCCGUCACACCAUGGGAGUUUGUUGCACCAGAAGUAGGUAGUCUAACCGCAAGGAGGACGCUUACCACGGUGUGGCCGAUGACUGGGGUGAAGUCGUAACAAGGUAAGCGUAGAUGA